rnacentral:lncRNA from 1 species
AGACGAAACGCGCGUCUGGCGUAUAAAAUUAUAAUCCUGGUACUUUUGAUAACUAUUUACACCACUGGGUCGAUGCCACUGCUGGUGGACGUUUCGUCCCCGAGGGUAUCACCAGCCCAGUAGUCAGCACUUCGGUGUUGACAUGAAUAUCAAUUAUAUGGUCAUUUUAUAAAUUUUCUGUUUACAAAACUUUGAAUUUUUCGAAAAACUAAGGAUUUUCUUACCCCAGGAG